GUUCAUUAUAUACUUUACUGCAGCGCUCCUACCGGUUAAAACACUAUAUACAGGGGCCUCCCGGGUGGCGCAGUGGUUAAGGGCUGUGCCACCAGAGACUCUGGGUUCGCUCCCAGGCUCUGUCGUAACCGGACGCGACCGGGAGGUCCGUGGGGCGACGCACAAUCAGCCUAGCGUCAUCCGGGUUAGGGAGGGUUUGGCCAGUAGGGAAAUCCUUGUCUCAUUGCGCACCAGUGACUCCUGUGGCGGGCCGGGCGCAGUGCACGCUAACACACGGCUGGCUUACAGGUUGGACGCGCGCUGUGUUAAAGAAGCAGUGCAGCUUGGUUGGGUUGUGUAUCGGAGGACGCAUGACUUUCGACCUUCGUCUCGUUGUAGCGAUGAGACAAGAUAGUAGCAACUAACAAUUGGAUACCACGAAAUUGGGGAGAAAAAGUGGGGUACAUUUUUUUUUAAAUUUAAAAAAUGACACUAUAUACAAUACUUUAUAUACCACAGCAUAUACACUAUAUACAACAGUAGUUGUGCUAAUCCCUUUCGUAAGACCGUUUUGGAACGACUAAUUUGACCCUAUUUUCUUUCACAAGCUGCAAGGAGAACGAAACGGGUUGAGAUCUCCUCCCUCAUCCCAGUUCUAUUUUGCAACUGAAGCUUUUUUCAAGUUCAUUGGGAUCCAUGACCAGCUGUGUGGUGAUCCUGUGUGAGGCAGGGGACCCCAGCACCCGGUGUGUCAGCACGGUAUCGCCACGGGAGAGAGGAC
ensembl:lncRNA